CAGGAAAUAGUUUAAUGUAAGAAUCCUAGCUUUGGGAGUUAGGGGCAGGAGUUAGAGUCUCCUUUUUCUGA
rnacentral:tRNA from 1 species